AUUGAACGCUGGCGGCAUGCUUUACACAUGCAAGUCGAACGGUAACAGGCCGCAAGGUGCUGACGAGUGGCGAACGGGUGAGUAAUGCAUCGGAACGUGCCCAGUCGUGGGGGAUAACGCAGCGAAAGCUGCGCUAAUACCGCAUACGAUCUAUGGAUGAAAGCGGGGGACCGUAAGGCCUCGCGCGAUUGGAGCGGCCGAUGUCAGAUUAGGUAGUUGGUGGGGUAAAGGCUCACCAAGCGGACGAUCUGUAGCUGGUCUGAGAGGACGACCAGCCACACUGGGACUUAGACACGGCCCAGACUCCUCAGGGAGGCAGCAGUGGGGAAUUUUGGACAAUGGGAGCAAGCCUGAUCCAGCAAUGCCGCGUGCAGGAAGAAGGCCUUCGGGUUGUAAACUGCUUUUGUACGGAACGAAACGGUCCUGGUUAAUACCUGGGGCUAAUGACGGUACCGUAAGAAUAAGCACCGGCUAACUACGUGCCAGCCGCCGCGGUAAGAC
rnacentral:rRNA from 1 species